AGAAACGUCUGUUUUCAGAGAUAGGCAAGUUUGCACAGCAUCCCGACCGCGGACUCUGGGGGAGGAAAUGCUACUUGCUUACCCCAGAGGAACACACAACGGAAUCACGUUAGCGCUAUAGAAAAGUUAUGGAAAGAACUCCCCCAAAGAAGUUUUGACCUUCUUACAACCACCGGCUUUGCCAGAGCCACAGGGAACCCCACCCAGCCAAUAUGCCAAGUACGCAUCCGUGAAGCCGAGGGAAAAUUGCAACCCUUGCCUACAACCAGACUGACAGCAUAAUUUCUUAGGAAUCAAGAAUCAAUACAGGGUUAUUUCUUUAGAUUAAACCUUAAAAGCCCCCUUGGAGGCUGAAGAAGCAGAGGAUAGCCAUGCAUACACUUGAACGUGAAAAAUGGUCCUCUUUCAUUGGAGAGGUCUUCCUCUUCAGCUAAACCGACAGAGUGGUGAAAAGAAGAAGGGACCCCUUGUUGACCAAAAUAAUCCAGACAAAUCAAAUCGGCCCUUUCCAGCAAGGAGUGGAACAGCCCAAGGGUGGCUAGAUCACAUCUUCUGCUCACACCACCACUGAGCAACCCUCUCCAGGACUGCCACCUAUGCAUAGGUCAUGCCCUGUGCAAGAGCACAUAAAGUGGGAGCUGAAGUCCUGCCCAGGCUCCAUUCACCAAGCAGAGCUUAUGUUGUUGUGUGUCUGUGUCUACCCAGAGGAUGUGGGUCCUUUUUAAAAUGUGCACCAAUGCAUCUUGUAUGAGCUGGCACCAGCUCGGACCAUCCCACCCUCAUACCCUGGUCCUAUCCAGGGUUAUAUUCCCUACUUUAGAAGAAUUAAUUAUUUUUAUGAACGUAUUUAGUUUAUUGUAAAAAAUGAAAUAUAUGACACAAAUUGAAAUUAAUUUCAGAGGUAAAGGUCAGAAUAUUACCAUGUAUGUGAAUUAUGUUUGUAUGUAUAUGUAUAUAUCAAGAGAGUUAUAUGAAUAUACAUUUUUGUGUAUCAGAAGUGAGGACAAUUUAACUUUGUUAAGUGUUUGAAAUAAAAUUAUUUUGAGUUUU
rnacentral:lncRNA from 10 species